GUAAUGGUGUCUUUAGACACCACCUUUAUCUUCAAAUUAUUUUGUU
rfam:Picea glauca, whole genome shotgun sequence.